CAAGGAAUCAUUCGAACUCGCGCUGCUUACUGGAAACGACGUAUCUGGAGAAGCGCAUUAAAUGUUGAAUACUUUUAACCAACGAGUCUAAAAUGAUUACCUAUCAGGAGAAUAAAGUAUUAUUUUGGUCUGUGAACGUGAUCGUUAUAUCGGCGUUAAUCAUCCUUCUUCUUUAUCUACUUCACCUGAAUAAUAUAAUGUAACCAACAACAAAAAAGCUCUGCGAUUGCCUCAGCGCCAAUAUCAAUUUCGCAACAUUACACAAUCGAUUAUUGCAACUAUGUAUACCUGAUGCAUUUUAUACUCAAUUGACUGGCUCUGCGUGGGAAUAUGAUCGCGUUACAGAUAAAUAAAUAAAAAUGAUAAAAAGAAAA
rnacentral:sRNA from 1 species